CUAUAAGACGAGAAGACCCCAUGGAGCUUUAAGCUAGCUUCACAUCUGUUUUGUACGCCCUUUGAUUAAACAGAGCACUGCCUGCUUAGCUUUAGGUUGGGGUGACCGCGGAAUAUAACACAACUUCCGCGAUGUGCAACUAUUUUCCUAUCUAAGAAUUACUAUUCUAAGAAUUAGCAUUCUAACAUACAAUGAUCCGAUAAUCGAUCAACGGACUAAGUUACCCUGGGGAUAACAGCGCAAUCCAUUUCAAGAGCCCCUAUCGA
rnacentral:rRNA from 1 species